rnacentral:rRNA from 1 species
UGGGGAAUUUUGGACAAUGGGCGAAAGCCUGAUCCAGCAAUGCCGCGUGUGUGAAGAAGGCCUUCGGGUUGUAAAGCACUUUUGUCCGGAAAGAAAUCCUUGGCUCUAAUACAGUCGGGGGAUGACGGUACCGGAAGAAUAAGCACCGGCUAACUACGUGCCAGCAGCCGCGGUAAUACGUAGGGUGCAAGCGUUAAUCGGAAUUACUGGGCGUAAAGCGUGCGCAGGCGGUUUGCUAAGACCGAUGUGAAAUCCCCGGGCUCAACCUGGGAACUGCAUUGGUGACUGGCAGGCUAGAGUAUGGCAGAGGGGGGUAGAAUUCCACGUGUAGCAGUGAAAUGCGUAGAGAUGUAGAGGAAUACCGAUGGCGAAGGCAGCCCCCUGGGCCAAUACUGACGCUCAUGCACGAAAGCGUGGGGAGCAAACAGGAUUAGAUACCCUGGUAGUCCACGCCCUAAAACGAUGUCAACUAGUUGUUGGGGAUUCAUUUCCUUAGUAACGUAGCUAACGCGUGAAGUUGACCGCCUGGGGAGUACGGUCGCAAGAUUAAAACUUAAAUGGAAUUGACGGGGUCAUAGCUGUUUCCU